rnacentral:rRNA from 1 species
CACGACCCCAGGUCAGGCGGGGCCACCCGCUGAGUUUAAGCUACA